GUUGAGGGGAAUGCUGUCUGGUUCGAGACCAUUCAUCAUUCAUUCGCACUUUGCAGCUCUGAAGGAUCUCGGACCAGGCUUCAUUCCCCCCAAC
rfam:Beta vulgaris subsp. vulgaris Bvchr3.sca005.con0093.1, whole genome shotgun sequence.